CUUCGGACGAGAAGACAAGACAUUCGCGAACUGCUAGGGAUUCCGCCGUUGACGUCGAGCCCACGCGAGCUCGCUUCGCGAAGUCAGCGACGAGAGAACCCCUCGACCGUCUCCGCAAACGCCAGUGAUUGAGGCCUCCGAUUUGUCGCCUGCCCAUGGAGCAUCAGGCAUCGGCGUUUAGCUUCCGGGAGCCUCGGCCCGGCGGCUUCCGCUUCUCGGGCGUCGUCCGCGAUCGACUGAGGAACGAUCUCGUGCGCUUGAAAGACAAAGGAAUUCCGGGUUUUCCACAUCAACUUGAGUAUGCCCACGAAAAGAUCUCGCCCCAGAGCAUCAGAUCCCUCGAUAACUUUGGUCCACUCGCACAGGGUAAAAAGAUGUUCCACCGUUUCCAGGGCUUUUCAGCAGAGGGGACAAAUCGGAUCAGUUGUGUAGUCACAGGAGGACCAGCUGCGACUGUUAAGCAGUUCAUUGUCUUCUGAGGAUGGACUGAGCAGGAGGUUAAGAGGGAGGUUGAAUGAGUCUAUUCCAAAUGAUUAUGUUGCUCCACUUCAGAAGUCAGGGUCUUUAGUUCUGCAGAGCUGAAAGUUGCAACAAGAAGCUUCAGAUCUGAUGCAAUUUUUGGCGAGGGUGGUUUUGGUAGUCUUCAAUGGCUGCCUUAAUGAGAAGGUGUCUUCCCAGAGCAAAAGAAUUACUCCAAUUGCCAUAAAAAAUUGAACCCAGAGAGCAUGCAAGGAUCUAAAGAGUGGAAGGUAGUCUUAGCUCCUCUCAGCAAAGCUCGGGUUGCAUGUGCUUUGCAGUAUUUAAUGUUAAUUGCCAUUGCAUUUUUAGCAAGAAGCUCUAUUGUGAUGGUGGGAGAAGAAUCGUGUCCAGAUACAUAGUUUGUUUUAGAAAAAUGAGUAUGAGAUGAUAGAUGUCAGUGGCCUUUUUUGUCGCUAGAUUGUUCUGGUUUUGUGUGGCUAAUUUCAUAUGAAGUUCACUAUCUCAUCUUGCUUUCUUCCUUUCAAGAAUAUAUGUUGUUGCCCAAUAUUUCUGGGGGUUUGUUCAACAACGUGGACCUGUUAGGAUUGCAAUUAUUUUGGAAAAGGCAGUGCCUGCUCCUCUUAAUCUUUAUUGUAGGUCCCUUCGCUUGUCCUAUGACCGCGAACAAUUCUAUGGAAGAGCUUGGGGAAAAGUCAGAUUGCUUUUCCAUUGUAUGGUUUCAAGUCCACAUAAAAACAUUAAAAAAUCUUGUGAGAUUCUGUUUUCAAGGACUUCUGGGGUUAGUGUGAGUAUUUUCCAGACAUGCAAUAGAAUAGUAAAAAUUUGCCUAUCCUACCCCUGGAGCCGUUAAUUUUCCAGUGUUUAUUUUAUCUUUAUUCAAAAUCCAACAGCAGGCACAGUGCUGGGUGGAAUGCAUUGCUCAUGUAAGAUUCCUUACGCAUGUACCAUUGGAGAUUUAAAUAGUAAAAAAAUUCGGACGAGAUGUUUUCACCAAUCUGCUGAACAGUUUGUCACGAUGUAAAGUGAUGAGACACAAAUGGUUAAGGCAUAUCUGUUUUGGAAAGCACGUUUGAAUGGCCGUCUCAGGAUGUGUGGAUGAGAAGGCAAGCUACUGUAAAUCCUACAACCAUUCGACAGAAGCCUCAACAGCCAAACAGCAUGGAAGUGGAGGAAACAAGUAGGAGGAGAGAAGCUUCGCCAGCUUAGCAUCUAUCUCUAAGGUUCUUGAGAGUCAGUGGUGAACUUCCUGGGCAGCUUAUCUCAUCCAAACAUUGUCAGGCUAAUGGGAUUCUGUUUGGAGAUAAAUAACUACUUCUUGUCCAUGACUUCUUGCCAAAGGGUACCCUAAAGAACCAUCUCUUUGGAAGGGGCCUUGGCCAUUAAACCACCUCCAUGGGUCACAUGGAUUAAAUUUGCAAUAGGAGCAGCCAGGCUUCACGUUCUUGCACCAGUUAGGCAGGCAAAUAAUCUGCAAAGAUUUCAAGCCCUCAAACGUAUUGCUGGACUCAGCUUUCACAUAUAACACGGGAGUUAUUAUUGCAAAGCAUCUUCAAAGCCUGGUUCACCACCCCAGUAUGUUUUCCUUAUUUUUUGGUCCGGGGGCUUUGUUGUUAUGAUCAUCUAAAAAUGCACAUUCCCAAGAUGCUCUUUUCAUGUGCUAUAACGCCAAAAUAUCAGAUUUUGGUUUGGCCAGAAGGAAUCCAGAUGAAGACGGAUCACAUGCGACGGACACGGGUUAUCAGAACUUAUGGAUAUGCAGCACCCGAGCAUAUAGCCACCGGUAAUAUGAUAGAAUAUCAGAUGCUGGCGCCUGAGUCACCAACCAAACCCGCCAACGGUUCCUGCGGAUGACGCCUUAACCACACGGUUAGGCCAGAUAGAAAUGUUAACUAUCUGACGGCGAUGCUUAUGUAUUUAGGGGUUUUAGGGGUUUUAAAAUACUCAAACCUUGAAAAGAAAAUAAAAUAAAAUACAGCAGCAAAAACAUCCUGGCGGGACCGGACAUCAUCGAAUGUUGGCCAGUGAGAUCUGAUUGGGAAUGAUUGUGAUGUCGUUAACAAUUAUGAUCCAGCACCUGCCCGUCUUCCAGAAAGGACGUUCCGCUUUUACUGUCACGGGUGACGGGAAGUCGCGAAAACUGCCCAAUCAAUCAUAGAUAUUUCCUCUUUUGUCCCGUGGGCCCAAUGACUCAGAUGUACAUAAAACCGAUUUUCAUUAAAUGCUUGUUGACGACACUGACUGUCGAAAGGGCGAA